GUAGACCUUAUGGCCCAGGGAUGUGGGGGGUAAACCCCCCAAACCUUAGACCCCUAGGUGUUUGGAAGGAAUUCAGCCCACUGGAAUUGGACACGGUCCAGAUUCUACGGGAGGCACCAGUGGGAAUAUGCACAAUGGCGAAACCCUGAUCAGCAACGCCGCGUGGAGGAUGCACAUUUCGGUGCGUAACUCCUUUUAUAUGAGAAGAUAAUGACGGUACCAUAUGAAUAAGCACCGGCUAACUCCGUGCCAGCAGCCGCGGUAAUACGGAGGGUGCAAGCGUUACUCGGAAUCACUGGGCGUAAAGCGCGCGCAGGCGGCUAUUUAAGUUGGAUGUGAAAGCCUACGGCUCAACCGUAGAACUGCAUCCAAAACUAUUUAGCUAGAGUGUGGGAGAGGAAGAUGGAAUUAGUUGUGUAGGGGUAAAAUCCGUAGAGAUAACUAGGAAUACCAAAAGCGAAGGCAAUCUUCUGGAACACUACUGACGCUGAGGCGCGAAAGCGUGGGGAGCAAACAGGAUUAGAUACCCUGGUAGUCCACGCAGUAAACGAUGAAUGUUAGUCGUCGGGUAGCUAGUCUAUUCGGUGAUGCAGCUAACGCAUUAAACAUUCCGCCUGGGGAGUACGGUCGCAAGAUUAAAACUCAAAGGAAUAGACGGGGACCCGCACAAGUGGUGGAGCAUGUGGUUUAAUUCGAAGAUACGCGAAGAACCUUACCUAGCCUUGACAUAUUUGAAAAUCCACCAGAGAUGGAGGAGUGCCUUCGGGAGUUCAUUUACAGGUGCUGCACGGCUGUCGUCAGCUCGUGUCGUGAGAUGUUGGGUUAAGUCCCGCAACGAGCGCAACCCUCGUCACUAGUUACUAACGGUUCGGCCGAGGACUCUAGUGAGACUGCCUUCGUAAGGAGGAGGAAGGUGAGGACGACGUCAAGUCAUCAUGGCCCUUACGGCUAGGGCAACACACGUGCUACAAUGGCCAGGACAGUGAGAAGCGAUACCGCGAGGUGGAGCAAAUCUAUAAACCUGGUCUCAGUUCGGAUUGUAGUCUGCAACUCGACUACAUGAAGCUGGAAUCACUAGUAAUCGUAGAUCAGCUAUGCUACGGUGAAUACGUUCCCGGGUCUUGUACUCACCGCCCGUCACACCAUGGGAGUUGAUUUCACCCGAAGCGGGGAAGCUAAACUGGCUACCCUCCACGGUGGAAUUAGCGACUGGGGUGAAGUCGUAACAAGGUACC
rnacentral:rRNA from 1 species